rnacentral:misc_RNA from 1 species
AAAAAAAAAAGAAAAAAAAGAGAGGAAGCAGAAGGAGGAGGAGGAGGAGACAAGGCCUGUUUGUUCUCUUUAAAAAUUCAAUGGACCUUAAAUGUGGAAAAAUCAUUAAAAAGCAAAAAUAAAUGGACAUCUCGAUACACAUACAAUAAGAGCUUGCUUACCAUGGAUAUCAUGAUUCAUGAGCUCCAUCCACUGUCUUCAACACCAUUCCUUUAAGACUCUUUGCUAACCAGAUAGCUGUCUCCCUUGGGGAAACCUUGUCUUUCCCAAAAGGUUUCAAAACUACAGCAAGCUCUUCCAAUCUGUUUUGCUCCAGCAACUCAGCAGACAAUUCUAAAAGCCCUUCAAGUGCCUCCGCCCUCUGCCUAAAGGACUUAACAUCUAAAGUUUCCUUUGCUGGUGCUUCCUCUUCUAUAACGAGGGAGUUGGGUUUUGUUGGCUCAGAAGCACCUGAUGUUGGAACUGAAGGAAUCACAUUUUUAUUAUCCAUUUCCUUAGUGCCAGAAUGAUCUGAAAUAUUUGAUUUCAAAGAAUGAUCUGAGAUAGUUGAUUUUGAACCCAUAGUUUCAGCACAACUUGAUGAUUUAAGCGUCACAGGGGUAGUCAUGUUUCUCAUCUCCAAUUCAUCUCUUACUACAUUUAAUAGCUUCCCAACAUCCACAUUUUGAACCCCCAUCUCCACAGUUUCCAUAACUGGCUGCUCACUCCCAACACGAAAACUACUGUGCCGAAUAACAUGUAUAACAUCAUCAAAAGCAGGAGGAAGAUGUCCAGCACUUGGCUUCUCAGUCAUUGGGUUUUGCAAAAUGACUCCUUUCUCUGGCUGAAAAUUCUUCGGGCUAGUAGAUAUUACCGAGGCAACAGAAGCAGUUUGCGGAACUGAUGAUAGAAGUUCUCUUACAGUGAACUUGUCAUCACCACUAGAUGUAGAUGUAAGAUUUGAUUGGACCACAUUAUCAGGCCUGCUUGUGAGGGUAUCAUCUUCACAAAUUGGAACUUCUUCAGAGCUUGUGACUGAUGGAUCCAGAGUGGCACUUGAACUCACUUUUCCAUCACCAGCAACAGUAUUCUUCUGAGGAUCAAGGACCACCCCAGGCUUUGAGGUUUCAGAUGAGUGAGCUACAGAUUUAUAACCACAUCCACAGUUUUCCUCAGACAAAUUUGAUGACUUGGAAUGUGAAGAGGAAGCAAGUGAGCAGCUGGGUGCAUGUAAUUCUAAGUUUUUCAUGAGUUCAGCAUGAGGAAUUGUUUGUUCAGUCAUGUCAACAAAUGGAGUUGUUGUAUCAUCACAAAGCUCAAAUGCUUGAACUGACACUGAAGAUGAGACAGAAUUACUUCUAUCUGUAUGCAUUCCUCUGGAAGCUCCAACUACAGCCUUCUGAGUCUCUUCUCUUACCUCAUUUGGAUAAUGUAAAAGAGGACCAUCAGGAACUUGAUAAUGAGUAUUUUCAGGUUCUUGGGUUAUCUCAUUUGGACUUAAUUUCAUGGUGUUAGUGAUGCCAUUUGGAACAUCAGUUCCCGCCUGCCUUGUCCGUCCAGGAAAUGCACAUCGCCUAACCAGAUUGGAAGGAGGAGUUUUUUGUCCUUGCUUUACAGGAAGUCCAUCAUCAACAUGCUUUAAUGGACCAGAUGGAGGAAAACCAUCAUUUCUAGGUUUAAUCUUUGGCGUAGAGUCAAUUAUUGGUAACUGGUGCUUCAAAGGAUGUGAUCCUUGAAUCCGCUUUGCAGAAUCAAACGCAACCUUUGAUGGAGAAAUAGUUGGUGCAUCUGCAUUAGCCUUCAAACCAGAAGUAAGGGCAUUGGGUUUGAGAACUUUGGGAGGCACUUCAGUGUUACUUCUUUGAGAACCUGCAACCUUUAUACGGUUGCCUCUCAUUGGAGAACCAUUUUCUCUAGCUUUUCCUUCUUUUAAGGCCAACAUAAUACUUCUAAUGGUCUUUGGUUGCUUUGAUUCAACACUGGAUCCAUGCUCAUCAUGACAUGGUUUCACCAUCCUAUUUUCAUCCGUCUUAACAGUGCAUAAGUUGGGGCUAUUUCCUUCUUUACUUGGCAUGUGCUGUUCAUCAUCAUCUUCAUCAUGAAUAGAAGCUAAAUCUGUAUCACUGGCUUUGUGCUCACAAUUUGAGACCAUUACUGGGACAUUUCUAUCACUGGAAAGCAAACUAUCUUUAUCACUACUAGAACUAUUACUGUUCUGGCUUUCAGCCAUAUUUUUCCGGGAAUCCUGACAGUUAGAAAUGGGCUUCUCAGGGGAACAGGUAGCUGGGGGAGUGAAGGAUGGACGAUAAUGAUCAACAAAAGGCUGCAAGUAAGGAUGCUUCAAAACCUCUGAAGCACUAGGUCGAUGCUCAGGGUUCUUUCUCAGCAUGCCUUUGAUCAACAUUUUCAAGGCUGGAGAGUAGCAAGAAGGCAAAGGGCCAAUUGAGGAGCGAUUUAUCUUGCUUAUCAGUCCUGCCAUGUCCUGCAAGACACAUGGAGGCAUUUAGUAAGUGAGAGAAAGAUGCAAAACUCAUGUGGCCAAAUAUAAAUAAUUUAUAGAAACCCUUUACAGAUGCUUGACAUUAAACCCUUCAUCAUGCAUACUUCUAAAGAAGAACUUUAACAUUAUGGAGUCCUGUAAAGGCAAGAGAGUUUGGAACCUAAAGCAGUUGCUAAUUUCUCAAUCAAUAUUUUGUGCAGUGACUGCAGAACAUGCAUAAUUGUUGCAAUACACAGAAACAUAGCUAGUUUUGCAAACUAAUUCAGUCCAUAAAAACUGUAAAUGAAAGCAAUGAUCAAACUCCAUUAAGACCUUACAUAUAUUAAUGUGAUGUCAUCAGUUGCAUUGCAUAAAAAUGUAGAACUCAAAUAAGUCUUAUUAACAAUCAAGAAUAAAAAAUAGUCAUGUUCCAUUUACUACAUCAAUGUAUAUUUUAAUGCAAACAAGAAUUUAUGGGCGACUCCAGUAAUAGAUUAUACAACCUGUUCUAUAUAACAUCAAGAAAGAUAUCAUGACCAUAUGAACACAUUGUUAGGACAAGAAGCAGGACAUAAACACAAUUUUCAUAAAAAAGAAAAAAAGAAAUCACAUCUGGGAAAAUGAACAUGGGAAUUCUUACAAAAGCUUUAAAAGCAGGGCGAUGAGCAGCCAUCUCAUACAUACAGCAUCCUGAUCAACAAUGAAACAUUUUAGCCAAAAACAAAAGGCAUAAAAUUUACAUAUAUUAUCUGGAAGGCAUGUACCCAAAGACCAAAUGUCUGAUUUGAAACCAUAAGGAAUAUCUGCAAGGAGUUCAGGACACAUAUAAUUCGGAGUUCCAACCACCGAGGAGGCCAAGUCAUCUGCUUUCAACGUUUUAGCAAGUCCAAAAUCCCCUAAAUAUGACCCAGAAACAAAAGAUUAAUAAGCCAAAAAAGUCUAAGGAAAUAAUAACCAAACAUGAGUAAAAAAACUCACCAAGGCGAACAUCCUGAUCUUUGGUAAGAAAGAUGUUGGAACAUUUAAGGUCGCGAUGGAGAACGAAAUUGACAUGCAGAUAUUCAACAGCUAGCAGUAGUUGUGUGAACCACUUGCAGAGUUUCUCCUCAGGAAAAUAUACACCAUUUGAUUUUUUCAUUAAUUCAGCCAUGUCACCGCCUUCACAGUAUCCAGUGACAAUGCAAACGUAGCAACCCUUCUCAACCCAUGCUUCUUUGAAUUCUACAAUGUAAGGGUGUUGAAUUCGCGCAAUAAGAGCCAUUUCUUGAUGAGCAGAUCUCCUGCAUCGCUCAGUUUGCCGUGCAAGCCGGAUCUUCUUCAACACAUACUUCUUCUUCUCGGACUUGUGAUGAACGAGAAUGGCAGCGCCAAAGGCACCGCGACCGAUCUGCUCCAUGAUCUCAUACUGAUCCAUUCGAGACUCCAUCACUUCCUCUCCCCAGUCAAUAAAAAAUGUCAAUGCCCCCCAACAAAUAAUCUAGAAGACGAUCGCUCUAAAAUAAAAUUGGAACCGCAGACUAAUUUUCACAUCACAACAUUUUGAUUUCCCUUUCUAUUCUGAAUCUCCACCGAAUCCUCCUCCUCCUCAUAGAUCCCGCAAUUGAACUACUACAAUCGACUCUUUUCACCAGCAAUGGCGUCGAGUUGAGAUUUCUUCUCUUGAGAUGGAAUCAUUUGAUUCCCGGCUUUCUUGUGUUUUAUCUGCAGUCAAUAAAGCACCAGAGAAAUAUGAGAUUCACUUCUUUUGGAGCAAGAUGCUUGCGUUUCAAUGUGUUUUUCUUGCCUUUAUCCCUCUU